rnacentral:tRNA from 1 species
GCGGGAGGGUCCGCGGGGGCGCUGUUUCCCGCUUGCGUGGGGCGAGUAUCUGCCUUUUAAGCAGAGAGUCGCAGGUUCAAGGCGCUGCCUCCCGCU